rnacentral:tRNA from 1 species
GUCCAGGGGCGGGAAUCGAACCCACAAACUUCCGCUUACCGGGCAGAUGCCAUGUCCACUAGGCUACCCUGGA